UGAAUGAGCAAGUAAAAGCAGUAAUAAGAAGAUAGAGGGCUUUAUUAGCAGGGAAACACUGACCAUGAGGCAGUCAAAAAGCAGAGACUGAUUAAUCAAUUUGUUUCAGAGAACAUUUUGAGAUUCUAGUUUCUUUCAAUAAAAUGCACUUAUAUAUCUAUUUGAUUUGAUAUGGUUCACCAGGCACUCUUUAAAAAAAAGUUGCAAAAAAUAUUUGAAAGUUUUUUAGUAUACAGCUAACGAUUGAUGCUUAUUAGUUCCUGAGUUCAGCUAAGUUCUUGUAUUCCAUGUAGAUAUAUGAAAGGAUCAUUUAAAAAACAUGCCUUUAGGGAGAUGCAAUUUUAUUAUAUGGUGGCAGCUCAGAUACAAAUGAUCCAGUUUUACAAGUUAGGUCUAAUUUUACCUGGUCACUCAGGCAGGCACCUGACCCAAGCAGGCCUUGAGUAUAUAACAGCCCCAGGUCUCACAAGACAGUGCUGCCCCAGAAGCGUCCUGAGAAGACUGGAGACUGAUGGAUGUGGGAGAAUUAUAUGGGAUGCAGAGGGGAGGAAGGAGCCCUCUUUCCCCAGUGACUCUAACCAGAGAUACCAACUGCCUGGGGAGAGGGAGGCAGGCACUUACAGGGUUUUCUCUCUCUUUCCAUCCAUAGAAAGGUGACAAGUGGCCCCUGGGGGAAUAUGGAGGAUUUGUGAGUAUUCCAGUCUGGAGUCUCAGGAUGGUAUGGUAGAGACAGGGAGAAUCUUGGGCCUGAUAACCCAGACCCUUGGUUUGUUAGUGAGUGGAACUUAAGAUUCUGAAAUUAUAUAAGUGAAAAAGAACACUAUAAAAUUCAGGACUUAAACUGAUAAUUAUC
rnacentral:lncRNA from 1 species